rnacentral:rRNA from 1 species
AGAGUUUGAUCCUGGCUCAGAAUCAACGCUGGCGGCGUGCCUCAGACAUGCAAGUCGAACGUGAAAGUUCCUUCGGGAAUGAGUAAAGUGGCGCACGGGUGAGUAACACGUGAGUAAUCUGCCUUUGGGUGGGGAAUACCAGCCGGAAACGGCUGUUAAUACCGCAUAACGCAGCGGCAUCGCAAGAUGACAGUUGUUAAAGCGGGGGAACAGCAAUGUCCUCGCGCCUGAAGAGGAGCUCGCGGCAGAUUAGGUAGUUGGUGAGGUAAUGGCUCACCAAGCCUGCGAUCUGUAACCGGCCUGAGAGGGCGGUCGGUCACACUGACACUGACAUACGGGUCAGACUCCUACGGGAGGCAGCAGUCGGGAAUUUUGGGCAAUGGGCGAAAGCCUGACCCAGCAACGCCGCGUGAAGGAUGAAGCUUUUCGGAGUGUAAACUUCGCAAGAAUAGGAAGAAUAAGUUUAGGUAAAUAACCUAAGUGAUGACGGUACUAUUUGUAAGCUCCGGCUAACUCCGUGCCAGCAGCCGCGGUAAUACGGGGGGAGCAAGCGUUGUUCGGAUUUACUGGGCGUAAAGGGUGCGUAGGCGGCACCACAAGUCACUUGUGAAAUCUUUGGGCUUAACCCAAAGCGGCCAAGUGAUACUGUGGAGCUAGAGUGCAGAAGGGGCAACUGGAAUUCUCGGUGUAGCGGUGAAAUGCGUAGAUAUCGAGAGGAACACCUGCGGCGAAGGCGGGUUGCUGGGCUGACACUGACGCUGAGGCACGAAAGCUAGGGUAGCAAACGGGAUUAGAUACCCCAGUAGUCC